GGCUAGGGGUCCAAUCAGAGCUACGGCUGCCACAGCCACAGCAACACAGGAUCUGAGCCGCGUCUGCAACCUACACCACAGCUCACGGCAACGCACAGCCUCACUGAGUGAGGCCAGGGAUCGAACCCAAGACCUCAUGGUUCCCAGUCGGAUUUGUUUCCGCUGAGCCGCCACGGGAACUGCCAGAGACAAAGCUUUUCUCAACACGGCCCAAGAUCACAUUCGCUUUGUGGUGACCCCUGCUGACUCAUGCAAAGCUUGCCAACAACUGAAACGCCUUUGUUUUGCAAGUGAUCCUGCUAAGCCAGGUCGCGUCAAACCCUUGGCGCUGACCAGCGUGCGCGUGACAAUACAUAAUUUUUGACUAAUAAUUAUACGUCAAGCCUCGUGCUAGGUACUUUACAUACUGUGAUAAACUUUUUUUUGGCUGCAUUCGUGGCAUGCAGAAGUUCUUGGGCCAGGGAUCGAACCCGAGCCCCAGUAGCAACUCAAGCCACAACAGGAACAACACCGACUCUUUAACUGCUAGGCCCCCGAGGAGCUCCCCGAGAUAAAUUUUUUUAAUGCUACGGGAAUUUAUUGGCUCAUGUAACUUAAGUGUCUGGGAAUUGGAAGGUUUCAGGCACAGUUUGAUCAGGCUUCAUGAACUAAACAUUUGGUGUGCUUCAUUCAAGCUUUAUAGCAACCACUUAAAACAGGCUUUAUUAGCCUCACUUUAUCACUGAAGAGGUUGAGACUUUUCGAAGGGACAUCCCGUUCCCAAGGUCAUCAGCCAGUAGGUGGCAGGACCGGGAGGAGCUGAUUCCAGGAUCCACACUGUCCUGCUUUCCAGUGUGUAGAGAAGAGGAAGCAAGAUUCAGAGGUUAAAUAACUUGCCCAAGGCCAUACGGGUUGUGUAAGUGACGGAUAGUGGGCAUCGGGGCUCAGGCCUGCCUGGCUCCAAAGCCGGGCUUGUCUCUCUGUGUUCUUGGGAGAGGAGUCGUGGGUCUGAGUAAGUCUGGGGCAAGUCCCCGCAGACCAUGUGUGAUGACCCACAGGUCAGGGCCUUUUAAAUCCACAGAGCACCAAUCCAACGUACAGUGGUCAACCCUGUCAUCUUUGCCAAGUCUAAUUCGGGCGACGGAAAGACCAGCUUCAUUGGACUGAUUCGGUUACACGAAACAGAAGCCCAUUCCAGCCAGUCGAAGCAAGAAGCGUAACUCAAUACGAGGCGUCAGGACUGUCUCCUGGGUCUCAAGGACAGGCCAGCCGCGUAAGGACAUCCCUCCCGGGGCGGAGGCCCUCCCGGAGCGCCUGGCUUUCCCCACCCCGCCUCUGUGCUUCGCUCAGAACCCUGGCUUCCUCCCUCUCUCUCAGCCCUUUGUCCCAAGCAGGUCUCCUUGGCACAUCUGUUACCUGACCUGAGCUCCCAGGCAGGUCUCCUCGGCACAUCUGUUACCUGACCUGAGCCGAACUCAACGGACGAGGCUCCCCUUCUCCUAAUUCCAAAGUUCAGGGAGUUCCCACUGUGGCUCAGUGGUAACGAAGCCAACUAGUAUGGGUGAGGACGCGGGUUCCAUCCCUGGCCUCACGCCAUGGGUUAAGGAUUCAGCAGUGUUGUAGUUGUGGUGUAGGCCCGCAGCUAUGGCUCUGAUUUGACCCUUAGCCUGGAACUUCCAUAGGCUGAGGGGGCAGUCCUACAAAGCAAAGCAAAAAACAAGAAACAAAAAAAACCCCAAACCAGAAAAACCCCCAAAGUUCAAGACUCCGACGGGCCCCACCUGGCCUCUGGGCUGAUCCCCUGAAGCGGCUGCCCGCCUCCGUCCAGUCGGCUGCUCAAGGGGGAGGGACUGCAGAGGACAAAGAUGGGCCCCCUGGGUCAGGACCCAACAGGGGCUUGUGGGUUGAGCAGGUCCCCUCAGAGGAACCUGCUUCCCUCUUGCCUGCCCUGAGGACUGGGAGGAGGCCAGCUGGGUCACUUUUCUGCCCAGUCAUUCCUCGGCACCAACCUUCUUCAGGGGUAAAGUCCCUCCCUCUGGAACCUCAGAGCCUGGGGAAACUCCCAAAAAUUUUGGAAGAGGCUACUGAAGAGUGAGUGGCUCAUGCUCUGGGGGCUGAUUAAGGUUCCCGGGGACGCGCCUAUUUUUCUGGGUCCCUGAAAGUGGUUUACAGACCCGUCCCGAGGGAUUUCCUGUCUGGCCUCCCGAGUCGUGGCUCCGCCUUGCAAACAGGACGGAUCAACCUGCUGCCUUUGAGCAGCUGCCUCUCCCGCUGAUCCCAUCUGGUCCUGAGUCUUCCUCUGAGCCUUGACUCCUAGAAUGUCAGCGCUGGGAGAUCACCGCCUCGCACAGCUUUCUCCCUCUGGACGGUCGAGGAAACUGAGAGGCGGACGGGAGAAAUCCCCGAGGGGGAGAGGGGGAGGAUUUAGGUCACGUGGUCAAACAUGUUGUUAGCCAAGCUAUUUUCUUUUCUUUUUUUCUUUUUUCCUCCUUUUGUUUUUAUGGCUGUCCUGAGGCGUAUUGAAUUCACAGGCCAGGGACCCGACGUGAGCUGCCGUUGCGACCUAUGCUCCAGCUGUAGCAACACCGGAUCCUUAACCUACUGUGCCGAGCUGGGUGUCGAACCUGUAUCUCAGAGCUCCAGAGAGGCUGCCACAGUGGGAGCUCCUGGUAGCUGCAUUUAAAUGAACCAUGCUGUUGCUUGGGCUGAGGCUAAAUUCCUUAAGGUAAUAGGGUUAAAUAGAUAAAAGCGAACAAGAGCGAAUAGACCCCAGGUGGUACCAAUACCAAGGCAAGAGACAAUCUGGGGUUGGGUGACGUUUAGGGGACACGGCAUUGAUGGCCGAGCGAGUGGACGGACCAGGAAGGAAUGAAUAGGUAAUGGGCCACAGUGGACUCUUGGAGUUUCACUUCCUCAUGGAUUCAGAAUUCCCAGACACUGGCCUCCCAAGUCAGAGAAUCACCGUGGCCCUCAGGGCACCCGCCCAGCCUCCGUGGGGGUUACCCCUGUCUCUAGGUUAAAAAGAAACUCUUCAUCACGCUGGUCUCAUUUUCCAGGUCAGUAAAUUCUGGCCUCAAGGCAACGAAGUCUCCCUGAUAAGGUGAGGGUCUUGGGGUCCGGUUGCCCAGCCUCCUUGCGGAGGGGAGAGUCUUGAGGGGCCAGCCGGGGCCUUGGCAUCCGUGGGGAUCCUCAUGUGCAGGCCUCCUUCCUGAUAAAACCAUGGGCCCACAAGAACGGGGUAGUAGAGGGGGUAGACCCUGUACGGGGCUUAGACAGGCCCGUGUGGCCUUGGGCAAGUCCCUUCCCUCCUGGGCAGGGUCUCAGAUAAACAAGAGGGUUUUGCUCCAUCUCAUUAGCAGCUGCAUCCAGUAAACACCUGCAGAAGCCCUACUACCCUCCUGGCAUCUGCUUGGCACGUGGGCAGACGGAGGGAUUGGACUCCAUGCCUGGAAUAACCUGAUCCGCUGGGGUGGGGAGAAGCACGCCUAACAUGUAAUUACAGCCAGGUGACAGGGACAGCCCCCGCCAGAUCUGGGAUCCCCAGAGUGUGUCAGUGCAGGGAGAGGGCUGCGGUGAGAUCGCAGGGCUGCGCCCAGAGACGAGUGGCCCUUGAAGGUAAGCGCGGCCUGGGCUUCCUCCAUUCCCACAGCAAACCCGGUGACCGUGGGUUUUGGAAUCAAACAGGUCCAGGUUCAGAUCCCUGAGCAACUAGAGCAGGUGGCUUCACUUUGCGGGUCUCGGAUUUCUUCUUUAUCAAAACAAGAUAACUGGGAGUUCCUGCUCAGCAGGUUAUGAAUCCGACUGGUAUCCAUAGGAUGUGGGUUCGAUCCCUGGCCUCACUCAGGGGGUUAAGGAUCCAGAGUUGCUGUGAGCUGCAGUGUAGGUCACGAUGUGACUCAGAUAGCACUUUGCAGGGGCUGUAGCAUAGACCAGCAGCUGCAGCUCUGAUUCAACCCAUAGCCUGGGGGGUAUGCCUCAGGUUCAGCCCUUAAAAAAACAAACAGUCAAACGAAAAGACCAAAGAAAAAGGAUGAUGUGGGAGUUGCCUCAUAGUCAGGGGGUUAGAAAUUGGCGGUUUCACUGCCGAGGCCUGGGUUCAAUCCCUGGCCUGGGAACCGAGAUCCCAUAUCAAGCCACUGCAUCACUGCCACACGAUGGCAAAAAAAAAAAAAAAAAAAGAUAGGAUGAUGCCCCUUAGUUCCCGGACCCUGUGAGGAUCCAUAAGGAUAAUGUCAAGAGCCUGGCACAAGGCCUGGCACAUGGUGGGUUUCCACCAUCCAGGCAGGAGGUGGAAGAAGCCCUGGACAUCUGUCCCCCCUGAGGACACACACCUCCCCCUCUGGACGCUCUUGGCUGGUAUGGGACGGGUUCCCUUGCUGGGGGCCUCCCGCCCCAAGAGAUUCUGCCCAGCCCUUUCCUCUCCCUGUGAACACUGUGGUGGGCUUCCCUCCUCCCACUUUCCACCACGCCCCUCUGCCUUCCUGAUCCGACCUUGAACUUGGUAUGUGCCAAGGACAGGGAGGAAACUGGUAGGGCUGGAGCCACGGGUGGGACUUCUCUGGGGAAGGCCUGCCAGGGCCGCGGUUCCUUCCUCUCUUCCCAGCAGUGGGUCAGUGCUGGAGCUGCCCUCUCUUGCCCGGGACAAGACAAGGUGACAGCUUGCCCCUCUUCUGGGAGGUGGGACUGGCUGGCUCCCUAGAAGAAGGCAGGCAGGACAAGCCCUGCUUCAGAUGCACCGGGGAGGGAGGAGGGAACCAGCUGGGGCAGAGGAUGGGAAGGUCUGGAGCCCCAGGCUGGCAGUGGAAGGACAGGUUUGCCCGCAUUCUUGGCAGGGCCCAGGAUUCCAAAGCUCCUUCCGUGUUUGUCACUGUCGCCAAGGCCACAGGGUACCAGACCUUCCGCCUGCGGUUCUCAUUCUUUACCAGCCAGAAAUAGGGCCCGGCCCUGUUUUACAGAUGGAGAAACUGAGGCUCCGAGAGGAAGAAUCACGUGCCCAGACCUAGACAUGCUAAUGGAAAGGAAUGAAGCCUUUAUGGAGAGCCUGCUAUGUGCCAGGCCCACGCUGUGCAAGAAUCAUUCCUCCUUUCACAGCCCAGCAAAAUGCCUGGUUGGUGUUUCCCGACUUUGCAGAUCAUCGGACAAAACCCAGCCUCUUGCCUGGGGCCCCAGGACGAAGCACUGAGCUGGGACGUAAGCCUAGAUCUGUCUGGCUCCAGGUCCUGCUGUGCUGAUCCCCCCUCCACUGUCUGUAAGGGGAGGAAGCGGAGACUCUGAGAUGUCCGAGCUGGGCCCAAGGUCACACCACCAGAAGGGGCAAAGCUAGUUUUUGUUUGUCAUUUAUUUUUUUGCUUUUUAGGGCUGCACCCGUGGCUUAAGGAGGUCAAAUCAGAGCUGCAGCUGCCGGCCUGCAUCACAGCACAGCAACACCAAAUCCUCAACCCACAGAGCGAGGCCAGGGAUGGAAGCUGCAACCUGUGGUUCCUAGUCAGAUUCGUUUCUGCUGCGCCACGACGGGAACUCCACAAAACUAGUUUCUAACUCACAUCUGUCUUAACUCCAGAACUCCUGCCUUUCCCACUGAGCUACAUGGUCUCAGUAAAAACUCUUUUCAUGGAGUAACUGGCUGAUACCUGCAUGAAUACAAAUAUGUCUCAAAGG
rnacentral:lncRNA from 1 species